GACGAACGCUGGCGGCGUGCUUAACACAUGCAAGUCGAACGGAAAGGCCUGCUUUCCCUUGUGGAUUGCGGGUACUCGAGUGGCGAACGGGUGGGUAACACGUGAGUGAUCUGCCCCCAACUUGGGUAUAAGCCUGGGAAACUGGGUCUAAUUCCCGAUAGGACUGCAGGGUGGUGCCUGUGGUGGAAAACGAUUUUCUAGUGGUUGGGGAUGAGCUCGCGGCCUAUCAGCUUGUUGGUGGGGUAAUGGCCUACCAAGGCGGCGACGGGUAGCCGGCCUGAGAGCGGGGACGGCCACAUUGAGACAGGGCGACGGCCCAGACGCCGACGAGAGGCAGCAGUGGGGAGUAUUGGACAAUGAGCGGAAGCCUGAUGCAGCGACGGCGCGUGGGAGAUGACGGGCUUCGGGUUGUAAACUCCUUGCGACCGAGAGGAAGCCACCUGGUUGGAAGGGUGGUGACGGUAGUGGUAGAAGAAGCACCGGCUAACUACGUG
rnacentral:rRNA from 1 species